rnacentral:rRNA from 1 species
AACCAGCCAAGUAGCGUGCAGGAUGACGGCCCUCUGGGUUGUAAACUGCUUUUAGUUGGGAAUAAAAAUUGAGGACGUGUCCUCUAUUGUAUGUACCUUCAUUAAAAAGGACCGGCUAAUUCCGUGCCAGCAGCCGCGGUAAUACGGAAGGUCCAGGCGUUAUCCGGAUUUAUUGGGUUUAAAGGGAGCGUAGGCGGAUUAUUAAGUCAGUGGUGAAAGACGGUGGCUCAACCAUCGUUAGCCAUUGAAACUGGUAGUCUUGAGUGCAGACAGGGAUGCUGGAACUCGUGGUGUAGCGGUGAAAUGCUUAGAUAUCACGAUGAACUCCGAUCGCGAAGGCAGGUGUCCGGGCUGCAACUGACGCUGAGGCUCGAAAGUGUGGGUAUCAAACAGGAUUAGAUACCCUGGUAGUCCACACAGUAAACGAUGUAUACUCGCGGUUUGCGAUAGACAGUAAGCCGCCAAGCGAAAGCAUUAAGUAUACCACCUGGGGAGUACGCCGGAAACGGUGAAACUCAAAGGAAUUGACGGGGGCCCGCACAAGCGGAGGAACAUGUGGUUUAAUUCGAUGAUACGCGAGGAACCUUACCGGGCUUGAACUAACAGUGACA